rnacentral:tRNA from 1 species
GCCCGUCUAGCUUAGUUGGUAGAGUGCAAGGCUCUUAACUUUGUAAUUGUAGGUUUGAGCCCCAUGGUGAGCU